rnacentral:lncRNA from 1 species
UACAAUAAUCACAUUUGAUACACACACAUUGGAGAUAGAGCGGAAGACUUUUACAAAGUACACUUUACAUUCCAGAACUCAAGUUUUACAUGGUAGAAAGAGAUGUAUUUAUUACAAGUCCUGAUAGUACUCGAAGUGCAUAACUUAUUACAAUAAUUGGAAGGGUGAAGCCUUUCCAUAAGAGAUAUAUAAAAACAUUCUAAGCUUCAAGUCCUCCACAUGAAGUAACUAACCCAAAGAUAAGGGAAUAAAACUUCUCCUACAAAAACAACAAGGGAUAAAACCCUGAGUACGCAAUUACUCAGCAAGACUUACCCGAUUAAAGAAAAGACUCUCAAGGGUAUGCUGGCUUUUGGGAAUCAAGGUAAAGCUCAUCAAAGUUCAAGGACUCAUUUUGCAGAAAAGCUUACUAGAAGUGGGUCCUUAAGCCAAGUUUUAUUUCACAAGUUAGUUUAUUACCUGAAUCUUCUAGCCUGAAUCUAGCAUUUUCCUAAUCUAGAUCAUUCACUUGACCUACACUAGGUUGCUUUUAAAAUCCAAAUUUUGUUUCGCUUGUUAUCUACGAUGAAGGGCAGCGAUCCAGUCUUCAUAUCCGAGAAGUAACGGCGAUCCGAAUCGAUUAAUACCCAGCUAGGGAUCUCCAGCCACACGACAUAUGUAGCACUUAACCCUUGCAUAUGUCUACCAUUCCCAUGGGUCCUCCACUACGUGAACCGGUCCGCGCCACCCGAGAGUACGGUACUCCACCAUCCAGCCACGUGUCAGGUGGGUACACGCCACUCCCGCCAUCUCUCCACUCCCAGUGCGCGAUUGUCUUUUCACAUAUGGAGUAGCCGGGUUCAGGCUUACCCAUGAUGAGGUAUGUGGCCAGUUAAAAGGUCCUAGAUCAACAAGCCUACAAUCGGUACGGUCCUUGAUCGACACAGACGAGCGACCUGUCCAGCUCAACGUCUGGUCUCAUUUUAAACAAAUUCUCAAAGUUUGAUACCUGGCAGAGGUACCCUGCUUGAAUGAUGAAUUCAUCCCCGUGGAGGAUGGCUCCAUCAUCCCAAGCCCUUUUUCUUUUUAAAAAUCAUGAGUCAUAGAUCAAAAACAUUUUUCUUAAUCUAUAAGCAUAACUAAGCAUUACUAGUUUUUAUAAAACAGGUAACAAGGUAUGAUAAUCAAUCUUUCAAGGAUGGUAAUGCAUCAAGUGUUUAAUCAUUCAACUCCUAUUACCUAAUGCAGCAUAUAAGUGAUAAAAUUUUGUAAUACAAGGAAGGUGGCAAAUGCACCGGGGCUUGCCUUAGUUGCAGAGACAGAGGUCUAAAUCCCUCUAUUAAACCCCAGUUAGAUGGCUCCCAUCACUUGAUGAGCAGGCACUGAAGCAGACUCCUCUUCAGAAACCACUUCUUGAAUUUCAUCUUCUUCUUCUGGGAAUUCUACAUGUAAAGAUAUGAACAUGAAUGCUUAUGCUGAUGCAACUUGAAAAUAAAAUACUAAAAAGCAUCACAAGACUUACACCUCUCUAAACGUGCACACAAAAACUAAUAAAACCUUAAGAGAGCUAAAUACUUAAAUAUCACAACUCAAUUCACCAACUAAACUAGGAAACCUUGCCUCCGUAACCAACCAAGCACUUCAUUUAUGCCUUAAGCAAGGAUCCAAACUGCAUGCACUACAAGUUAUAGUGUCCAAGAAUCAGUCACAAUUCACUGAACCUGCUUUCAGUUCUCUGAAUUCAUCUUCCAUUGCUCCAUUCCUCUCCCCAAUUUCUUCACCGUAACAAGCCCAACUAUUCACAUGAAACUUGUUUGCCUUACCUUGGUAUUUCACUUUGUUAUGGAACUCCUAACCUAAAACCCCAUGAUUUGGUCACCAAAGAGCUCCAAACUGAGCACCAACAGUGAAAUUCCAGUUUUCAGUUAACUGAAUCCAGUUCAUUAGCAAUACCGCUCCCUUUUGCUUUCUUCUUUGUUCAAGCCCAGAUAUCUAACAAUUCUUCUCAACAACCAACCAACCUUUGUGAACCAAUAUUACUCUCCUACUAUAGCCCUUCCCAUUUGGUAUAAAACCCCUAAGCUGAAAAUACUUAGAACAGUAGCUAUGGUGCACAAAAGUUAGAGCAAAACACUGAAAAGUUCAGUUCCUUGAUCUGAAACAGCACCUUACCAUGUCUGAUAGAGAGUUUUGCAAUAGGCUUUUCUCAAAAUUCCAUAAAUCAACAAGCCAAUCUACUUGUAUAAAACUGGUUCUCCUACACUUAGGUCUUUCACCUUUCUAUAAAACUCUUAACCCAAUUCUGGUUUGAUUAAUUACCACAGAGCUCCAAAGUUGACUAAACAAUACCCUAAACAGGUUUUCAGUUAGCUGAAACAGCCCACUCCAAGUCUGACAGAAGGUUUUGUAACACUAUUUUCUCGCAAUUCCAUAUGAGGGCUCAAUGUAUUUCCUUACUAUGAAUGGUUCCUCUAUAAUCUCUCUCCAUCUUUGUUACAACAGCUACUAGCUAACCCUAAACAGAUCUCAAGUUACAGAGCACCAAACUUGAGGUGGAAACGCAAAGGCUAAAUUUCAGCUAACUGAAAAAGACCUGAACACAACACCUGACAUAGAAAAUUGCAGCACAUAUUUCUCCAUAUUUUACACAGUAGUAAGCCCCACUCCUCUGAUGAAGCUUGUUCACCUUCAUCUGGUCUUUGACUUUUCUAUACAACUGGUAACUCAAAACCUCAUGAACUGGUCAUAGGAGAGCUCCAAACUGAGCAAUCUGCUGCAAUCCAGUUUUCAGCUAAUCUGAACAAAAAUUCAGUCAGUGCAAACUCACAGUCCAUUUUUGGGCAGCUUUCACUCUAUUUUCCAUACACACCCAAACCAAACCUACUUAAGGAGAAUGGUUUACCAUCAUAUGAGCUUCUCUAUCUUAUGCAGAGCACAAAAUAUGCACAACUCGACUGAGGAAACCUUUGAAGUUACCUGGUCACGGCGAGGUGGACUGAUUGCCGACGAUGGUCACCACCUAGGGACUGGUACACCAAGCUCUGGGCAGAUGGACCAAGAUAUUGGGAGGGGAUUAACUCCGGGGAAACAUAGGCUACAAGAGCCAAGGAGAUCACUCGAGCUCUAGGACUGCACGGCCUACUGGACCAUGACUUAAGUAGGAGAUGGGAAGACUAGGGCAGAUCGAGUUGGUGGCUGGGAAGAGGAGCCUAGACUUACAAACACGAACCGCUAAGACACCAAGUGAAGCAACUAAAACGUGAGAACAGCAGGGAUUACAAUAGCAGUAUUUAAGCAAAGGGAUGGGAGACAGAUGUUCCAGAGCUCGGCCAGGACAUGAUGGAGGAGGACGCCGGGGACGCCAGCAGCCCCACGAUUAUGGACACGUAGCAGGAGUGCAUGGACAGCACAUAGGAGGUAAACGCAGGGGUGAUGAACCUCAUCCACGGCUGGGCACAAGACGACAAGCAGACAGGAGGAUGUGUCUGUUGUGAUCAAUCUAGUACAAGUUCAAUACAGUCCUUAGCUAGUAAACCAAGUCUCACGACCCUACCUCAUACCAGCCUUCACUUAUCCAAACAUUCCCUGGAAACCCAUGGAGUCCGUAGUGGGUGAAGAUCUUUACUGCAGAUAUUUUUGAUCCAUAUUGGACUGCCACUGCUCCACUUCACUUCUUCAUGUUCAGUGCCCUUAAUCUCACAAUUUCAUACAAUAACUAACCCUUCUUCCUUAACCAAAUUUAGUCACCAACUACAACCCUACCAACUUGGUAUAGCACCCCAAGGCUGCAACUAUACAGAACACAAGUUAUAGGCACCAAACUGGAGCCAAAAAGCACUGAAAAGUGCAGUUUCCGAUUAACUGAAGCAGCCCAAAACAGUCUGUCAGAGGGAGUUUAGAUGCAUACUACUCCAUAGUUUGCAUGAUACUAGGUCCAUCUCACUUUAGGAGACGUUUACCUCUUUAUUUGGUCUCUAAUUUCACUAUAUGAUUCUCAGUCCAAAUCUCAAUAGAAUGGUCACACUAGCACCACAAACUGGGUAUCAAGCACUGAAAUUUUGGUUUCAGCUGACUGAACUGAGUUCAGUCACAACCACUUUGACAGAGAAGAUUGGGAUAUACUUUACUCCUAGGUUUAUGUAGAACCAAGUCUAACUCUCUUUAGGAAACUUGUUCUCUGUACUAUGAGCUCCAACUUUUCUAUGGAAACUUUAGUCCAAAACCACUUGGAUUGAUCACAAAUGAGCUACAAACUGGGCACCAUUUACUGAAUUUCAGUUUUAGUUAACUGAACCAAUUUCAGUCACCAGUAACCCAAUAGUCCAUUUUCAGUUUACUUUUUCUCCACUUUUUGUGUAGGAUCAUAUCCAUCACCCGUAAAUACAUUUGUACACCAACUUAUGGUCUUCAAUUCCUCUAUAGAAACCAUAGCUCAAAACCUUAUGGAUUAUUCACAAGGAAGCUCCAAAGUAUGUCACAAUCACUGAAAUUCAGUUUUCAAUAACUGAAUAUAAUUAAGUUUCAGCCACAACACAGUCCCACUUUAAGCAGUUGUUACUCCAAUUCUUGUAUGGGAUCAUGUCCAUCACCCUUUAAGGAAGUUGUUCACCAAUAUAUGGUCUUUACUUCCUUCAUAAACAUCACAACCCAAAACCCUCUAGAUCAGCCAAAAACAGGCUCUAAAACAGCUAUCAAAACACAGAAAUCUGAUUUCAGACACUGUUCACAACCUGAAAUUUAAAAGUCUGACAGCCUCACUUUGGAUCACCUUUUUUCUCCUAGUUGUAUAUAGUUCGAGGGCUGUGACACUUAAUAACAGUUGUUCUCUCAUACUUAUUCUACAAGUUUCCUAUAGUGGUCAUUAACCAAAACCUCUUGGAUUCCAAACUACAAUAGCUCAAAGUUUGCUCCAAUUGCUGAAAUUCAGAAUCUGAAUUUCACUAAGUCUGAAACCUACAAUUUCUGACAGCUUUACUUUGGACCAGGUUUUCUCUAAGUUCCAAACAGUUUUAGUGCUAGGUGACUUAACCAAACUUAUACUCCUCAUGUAGCUCUAUAAUUUUGUUACAAUGACCAUCUUCAAACUGUUUAUAGAUCAAAAGUUAUGAAGGCCCAAAAACAGCUAGUUGAUAUUAUUUUCAACAAACUUCAAAUCUGAUUCAAAACUGAAUUAAGCUUUUUACUCCAACUUUUCCUCUCAAACUUGGAAUUCUCCAUACAUGAAAGUUGUUCAACUUUCCAAAAUCUACAACUUUGAUGUAUGGACCGCUAGCAAAUUCUCUCUAGAUUUAAAACUCCACUUUUGGGCUAGUUGAGGGUUUCAUUUGAGUUUGCCUUUCUCCAGACAAAUAUCUUCCAGUCUGAUCCCUCACUUAAAGCAAGGUUGCACUUUACCUCAAAGUCCAAUUUUGAUACUUGGAUUUCAUGGCCAAGGCAUUUUUAGCUUAGAAGUAGUUUGCUCUCACUCAACCACUCACUAACUCUUCAAACUCUUUAGCUCAUAUCAAUGCAACACACUAUCUUUGUUUCAAAAUUUUUAGACCUAGUAGAUGCACUCUAGGUGUAUCAAGCAAGAUAAUGCAAGUGCUUAUGAUGACAUGUCAGAAUUUUAGUUAUCGUAACACCAGGGGUGUUACACCUCCGAUCAUCGACCCCAGCAACGACGGCCGCCCUCUCCUCAUGGCUGAGAACGGGGAGGUCGGGGAUGACCACGGGUGGCGGCGCCUCAACCAUCCCGACGUCGGCGGCGACGGGCGGCUCCGCGGGCGAAUCAGCGACGGCCCCGACAGGAGUCGAUGCCGGCACCGGUAACAAGUCAGGCGGGCUCGGGGCCGCGGCCGCGUCAACGGCCUCCCCUGACAUGAUGGCCGCUCCAACAGGGGGUCAACCUGGGAGGCUUGCCCCAGGGCAACCCGUGCCGCCUGGGCCCCCCGCCGGAGGGCGCCUUGUGCGGAGGCCAGCCAACCGGCGUGGCACGCCGCAGCACCGGCUGCAGAAGCCGACUUCAUCUUAAGGGCCAUCGUGGGGGCCAGACCGGCCGAGCCCUGCCUCCGCUUGCUGAAAGAAAGAGAGAGAGCAAGUUCAAGACACACAGUGCAAAAAACCAAACAGAGGUAUCCUCAGAUACUUACCUGCUUCGGGGCAAGGCCAAUCGUGCAUGCGGGGAGGCCCCUCGGGCCCCGGUCUCCGCAGGCGCUGCCGAGGGUUGCCCCGCUGCCGGCUUCGGCGCCGCUUCCGCCUCGGGCGCCCGAGGCGCCGAAGGCGCGGCCUGUCCAGGCGUUGUCACGACGGCUGGGGGACCAACCUCCUGUAUAGCCGGCACGGGCACCUGCCCUUGGGGGGCAUGCGGUUCGGCCUGACCCCCCGGAGUCACCCCAAUUAUCUCAGCCAAGGGGUCAAGUACCCCCUCGGCCUGCCUCCGCUCCUCGGACCGGGACCUUGGUGUCCCGGCCCCAGGCACUUGCGGUGCCAGCCCACUUGGAGGCUGGCUCGGCGACCCCUGGCCUAGCCUCGGGUCCGGGCUGAGGCCAAGUCGGGCCGCCAUGUCAUCGUCUUCGUCAUCAUCAUCAUCAUCACCAUCAUUACCUGUUACCGGAGUAAUCUAGAUGGGACACCGGUCUUGUUCCUUCGUAGCCUAAGGCAGCUAGCUAGGGGUAGGGUAAUGAUGUAUCCCCUGUGGCGCGGUCGGUCCGAACCCGAGGUCGGGCGAGGCGGAGACUUCUCCCGAGGUCGAGGCCGAGGUCGGGCGAGGAUGUGACUCUUCCUGAGCCUGAGGCUGAGGCCGAGGCCUGGGGUCGGGCGAAGCGGAGACCUUCUCCCGAGGCCGAGGCUGAGGCCGAGGCCUGAGGUCAGGCGAGGCGGAGCUCCCUGUUGCGCCCGAGGCUGAAUUCGAGGGAGAUCGUGACUCAGUUUUACCCUGGUGGUUGGCACAGUAGUCGGAACGGGGUGAAUAGCGCUGUUUUCUUGUCAGAACGGUCAGUAAAGGGGCGAAGUGACUGGGGUCACUUCGACCUUGCCGACUGAGGCGCGCGUGUCAGGAUAAGGUGUCAGGCGAUCCCCACAUUAAAUGCGCAUGCGAUACGGUCGGUUGGUAAGGCGAUUUGGCCGAGGUCGUUGUACGACAAAGUCUGCCCGAGCUUGGCUUCGGGCGAGCCGAGGGUGCACCCACUGCCUGAGGAUGCCCUCGGGCGAGGCGUGAAUCCGUCCGGGACUACUGCUCUUGCCUAAGGCUGGGCUCGGAUGAGAUCACGUUCCUUGGUAGACGAGGCCUUGACUUGAACCGUGCUUAUCAGUCUUUACGGUUUGUUCUGAAGAUGUUUUCCAGCCAGGUUAAGGAGCAUUGGGGGUACCCCUAAUUACGGUACCCGACAGUAGCCCCCGAGCCUCGAAGGGAGUGUAGGUACUCGCUUGGAGGUUCUGCCAGAUUUCUUGCAAGGGGACCAGCCUUUCUCGGUUAUAUUUUGUUCCGAUGGGUGCGCACGAGCGCACCCGUCGGGUGUAGCCCCCGAGGCCUCAGAGGAGUGGUUUAACUUCUCUGAGGUCUUAAUUCUUUUUGUGAUGCCUCGGUCGGCCUUGUUGUUCCCUCAUGCGGCCUGGCCACAGCCUGGGUGCAUGGUUAGGCUCCGAGUUUUUAAGCUGGUUUGUUGACGUGGUCAACAGUUUGGUCGUAGCCUGGUGCGAGAGCAGCCCCCAAGCCUCUGCACGGAUGGAGAGGACGAUCAAGGACCGUCUCGAAUUUUAUUGUACGCCCCUUCAUCUCCUUUCCUCAAGGAGGAAGGGGGGGGGGAAGCGCCAUGUUACCCUCGGAGGGCACCGAACACGGUGUUUCCAGUGAGUUGCUAUCGGGUGAUCCGAGUGGACACCCGAGCCCCGUUCGAUAAGGGUCGGCUAGUGGCCUAGAGGCGCGCUCCAAAAGUACCUGCAGGUGAUUUGCUAGACCCGGACCCAUUUGAUAGGGUCCGAGGGCUCGGUGCCUCCCUCUGGUGGGAUUCCAUUACAAAUCAUUCCCGCUGGUCUCGGAAAUGUCCUAGGGUACCUCGGGAGCGUAGCCCGAGCCUCGGCCAUGUAACGGACGUACCCAGGGUCAUCCCUGACUCUGCGCGCUCUGGGGCGGCUGUCGAACCCUUCCAAGGGGCUAGCCUUCGAACCCCUGAUUAGUAAAGGGCUCGGAGCCCGAGUGCUCUGGGGCAGUUGCCGAACCCCGCAGGGCGCAACCUUCGAACCCCUGAUCAGUAGGAGGGCUUGGGACCCGUUUCCUUCGCUGAGAAGGAUCCUUUUCGAAAUAUCCCCUUUCCCGGUCCCUGUGGCAAGAGAGAGAGAGAGAGGAAAAGGAAAAGGAUAUAAAUUUAAAUAAUGUGGCGCACCUUUUUUGACGCGGUCAUGAAAGGGAAAUGUGCCCUUGGGCCAUUUCUAAGUGUUUUGGUGAUUUAGUGUCCAACACAAGUGCUUAAGUGUUAAUAUAUGCAAAGAGGUGGACAAAGUGCAAAUCAUGUCAAAAGGUAUAUUUCUAGACUUAGUACAUUAUUUUAUGGACUAAUGUAUUGUGUCUAAGUGCUGGAAACAGGAAAAAUCGAAUUGGAAAUGAGAUGGCUUUGUUCAGCCAAAGUCUGCUCAGUCUGGGAGCACCGGACUGUCCGGUGCGCCAGGCUGGCUCGAGCGAACUGGCCGCUCUCGGGAAUUCACCGGCAACGUACGACUAUAAUUCACCGGACUGUCCGGUGUGCACCGAACUGUCCGGUGAGCCAACGGUCGGCCGCGCGAUCUGCGCGGGACACGUGGCCGAGCCAACGGCUAGAAGGGGGCACCGGACUGUCCGGUGUGCACCGGACAUGUCUGGUGCGCCAACGGUCGGCUUCGCCGUAGAAGGAAAGAAAUCGGGCACCGGACACUGUCCGGUGUGCACCGGACUGUCCGGUGCGCCAGGCGACAGAAGGCAAGAAUUGCCUUCAUGGAAUGCUCUCAACGGCUCCUAGCUGCCUUGGGGCUAUAAAAGGGACCCCUAGGCGCAUGGAGGAGCACACCAAGCAUUCCUUGAGCAUUCUUGAUCACUCACACUCCAUUCUUGCGCACUUGUUCGACAUUCUAGUGAUUUGAGCUCCGUUCUAGUGUGCUAGUCUUUUGAGCUUAAGUCUGGGUCUUGUGUGUGCGUGUUUGCUGUGAUCUUUGUGUCUUGUGUGAGUUGCUCAUCCCUCCCUUACUCCGUACUUCUUUGUGAACAUCUUUGUAAGGGCGAGAGACUCCAAGUUGUGGAGAUUCCUCGCGAACGGGAUUAAGAAAAGCAAAGCAAAACACCGUGGUAUUCAAGUGGGUCUUUGGACCGCUUGAGAGGGGUUGAUUGCAACCCUCAUCCGUUGGGACGCCACAACGUGGAGUAGGCAAGCGUUGGUCUUGGCCGAACCACGGGAUAACCACCGUGCCAUCUCUGUGAUUGAUAUCUUUGUGGCUAUUGUGUUUUGUUGAGACUCCUCUAGCCACUUGGCAUUAUUGUACUAACGCUUAACCAAGUUUUUGUGGCUUAAGUUUCAAGUUUUACAGGAUCACCUAUUCACCCCCCCCUCUAGGUGCUCUCAGGUCAUCAUGACGGAGGUGAAACGGCGCCCGCUUCGCCUGCCAGAGGUGUCGCUUGCCCUGCCAGGGAGUUAAUGCGACGGGACGGGAGAUUUGCGGGGCGUAUGUUGUGCGUGCGCGAGUCGUUCAAGGAACGGAACACGGGUGCGUCGUCUUUAUGCCGUGGGAGAGGGCUCCCCUGCCGCUUCAGGAGAAGAUGCGAGCUUGUAGGUGAUUGGACCGCUGCUUCCGCACGUCUGUUGCUGUAAUUACUGCCGGCCCGUCUUUGGUCAUAUCAACCGUCGUGCCUAUUCCCGCGGCCGACCGACCCGUGACCGUCGCACUUAAUUGGCAUUGUUGGGUCAUGCGCGGGGCUGCCUCGAGUCGCUGCACCUGUUCUGCAGUCGAGAAGACGCGGCAUUGGCGCAAGUGGCGGUGCGGUUUCCUUGCACGUAGCAACCGGCGCGCCGGUUACACGACAUGUGGGCCCGGGCCUCCAUGCUGGACCGCCGGAUGCGACGAAGCCGAAAGGGUGCACAACCGUGGUGCGUUUCAUGCUUCUUGCGUGGCGGUCCUCCCUUUCGACCGUCGGUUUCGGCGAGGAUGAGGGAGUGCUUAUAACCGCGGGGCGGUUACAUGCUUCAUGUGCGGCAGUUUGCCUUCUUCGCAUUUCGGGUCAGCUCGUAUGACAUGUGGGACCCAGCCCCCGUGUCGUAGGGUGAGAACCCUGGAGCACGUCGGUGGAGACUUUGCCCGUGACGCUUGGGGGUGCGAGUGAGGAGAUCUGCCUUUAAAAAGGGAUCGAUCCCCUGGGCGGUAGCCAUGCCUUCGCACUCCUUGCAUUCAUCGCGUCUUUCCACCUUCCGAGCCCCCAGAUGGGGUGCAUCUGUGUUGCCUUCUUCUUGCUGCUGUUGGAGGAGCGCGACCUCGUGGGGGUUGGCGCUCUUCAGUCAUCGCUCGGCUUCAAGGAUUUUCAUCAUGCAGCCCGGCUGCAGUCCCCCGCCGGCGGUCACCCAGGAUGAUGAUCGUAGGCCUCGUGGUGGGGAAGAGCGAGCCGGGCAGUGGCCUCCCCCUGCCCUCAGCUUCAAGGAUGUUCAUCAUCCGUGCUGGGGAGGAGGGUGUGCCGAGUUGGGUCCCGCCGCCGCGUGGGCAGCGGCCCGCUCCUUCCCUCAGUGUUCGGGGGAGAAGGGCGUUCGCCGUCCAUGGCGCUAUCAGCUGCCGCGUGUCUGGCUCCCUGGCCUGAGCGGCUCUGGUGCUGCUUCCGGUGCCGCCUCCUACCGCUGGGGCGGAGCGUGGCUGCCCGUCCGCCGCACGGGUGUCGGUUGCGCCGUGCGCGGGCCGGCCACGUCCAGGUCCUUCCUGCGCCGCUGGCUGCACCGGGGGGUCGCACAACACGUCGUACGCCGCGAGGGCGGUGUUCGUGUUCUAGGACAAUCUCGUCCUCGCUCCUUUGGCGAGGACGGGAGUGAGGACCUGUCGGUGCGCGCUGGGGUGGCCGCCGUUCGCCGGUGCAGUGUUGGUGGGCAGGUGGCCGCUGUCGUCGGUGCUGAGGUGGUGGUCACCAUAGGUGAGGCUUUCCCCUGCAGAAGCGGUUGCCUCCGCCGACGAGACCGUCAGUGCCACCUGCGCUCUGGACCUCCAGCUCUUUGGCUUUAAUGGCUGGUUCUCGUCCCUCGUAGGGGGACGUGGGCGAGGGCCUUUUCACAGUAGCGUUUGCCCUGAGGCAAUCGCUGCUGCUGUCUAGCCGCCCGAGGCGGAGGUCGUUGUCGCUGCUGGUGCAGUGGUCACCGGCGAGCCGCUUGGAGUUCGUUAUCUCGCAGCCCCUCUGGUGUGGAGGUAGUUCAUUCCUGUGGGAAUGGAGCUGGAGUCCCGUUUGUAAGGGAAUGUACUGGUAUUUGCCUGAGAGCAAAAUGUAAUUGCUUCAAGUACUAAGACGUCUGUCGUAGGUCGGGAAAACCGCCGAGGGCGCUGCCGACGUCUAAGUCUAGAUACCAUAGUUACCCUAAGUAUGUGUGUUUGUUCUUUGUGGCUGCUGAGGCCUGAACAUUUGGGUAUAAAGCCAUGCUUCUUUCCUAUUGUUUCGAGCAUUAGGACUUGUUCGACGGUAGCAGAAUCACUUAUCCGAGCGUGAGCUACCCUUCGCUGAAGGUGACGAGUGAGGUAUCCGUAUCCCGGAGGCGUAGGAGUCCCUCGGCUCGGUCGGCCUUGCCGUUCAAGGUCUCUCUCGCUCGUGUUUAGGAUUCCGUUAUCGACGCAGUCGAAAGGCACGCCCAAGCUAUGGCCUUACAGCAGCGUGCUCGGGCCGAAGGUAUGUUUUGCCCGCUUUGUGACUUUGUUUUUGUCUCCAUUCUUCACCUCGUGUUUGAAGAAUUUUGUUCGGCUGUCUGCAGGGUUCGAGACGGCUCUUAACGAGUCCGUCAAGAACUGCAAGGUGCUUGCCCAGGCGACUGAGCAGAAGGAGGCCGACCACGUGGCCAUGUCCGAGGCUAUCUCGGCCUUCUGCCGGGCCUUUGGCCUUGACGAUGUCCCCUCGGGUAGCUCCCCCAGAGUCACCUGCGGCCCUUGGGCGACCAUGUGCGCAGCAGACUCCGCGGGGCGCUGCACCACAGCGUUAGGCGGGCCUUCGCCGUGCUCGCUUCCCACUACGACGUGGAUCUGGAGUGGGUCAGCGAGGGGUACUGCUUACCCGACGAAGAGGAGGCCGCCUUAGCCGUGGUCUAGAGGCUUGACGUGGUUAUCGAGGGCCCAAGCGCGACGCUGGCUUCCUCCUUUGAGGUGGAGAUCCUUCCGCCCGUGUCACCGUCCGAGGCUGGGCUAGGUUCCGCUGAGGGUGGAAACGACGCCGAGGGUGCUGCUCCUCCCCCUGCCGAUGUCUGAUCCUGCAUGAACAAUUUGUUUUAAUUAUGCGUAUGUUUUUUUUGUGGCCGCUGAGGCCUAAACAUUUUUAUUGUCGGAUUAUAAAGCCGCGUUUUCUUUCCUCUCGUUUCGUGCGUUAGGACUUGUUCGUCGGUAGCAGAAUCACUUGUCCGAGCGUGAGUUACUUUUCGCGAAAGGCAUGAGUGAGGUAUCCGUAUCCCGGAGGCGUAGGAGUCCCUCGGCUCGGUCGGCCUUGCCGUUUACGUGUUCCUCCCGUCGUUUUUAGGAUCCUGUUAUCGAUAUAGUCGAAAAGCACGAAAGUCGUUUUGGUAGAAAACUUUUCUGAGGAAAAUUUUGACGCAGAGGGGGUUCCCCCCUUCUAGCCCCUGAGGGAGGGUCGGGCUUUGCCGAGGCAAGGCUGAUCCUUCCUUGAUGGUUAGACUUUAUUUAUGCAUGUAAAGAAAGCAAGAUACAUGAACGACUUGAAACAUUUUAAGGAUAGAAGCGACAUAGCUGUUGGAUGUUCCAAGCGUUGUUGUAGACCUCGCCUUCUUUGUUGGCCAGCUUGUUUGUCCCGGGCUUCAAAAUCUUGGCGAUGAUGAACGGCCCUUCCCAGGGAGGAGUAAGCUUGUGGUGCCCUCGGGCGUCUUGUCGUUGCCGAAGCACCAAGUCUCCCACUUGGAAGCCUCGGGGCUGAACCCUUCGGGCGUGGUAGCGUCGCAAAGACUGCUGAUACCGCGCCGAGUGUAGUAAGGCUACGUCCCGAGCCUCUUCCAGCUGGUCCAAUGAAUCUUCUCGGCUGGUCUGGUUUCUUCGGUCGUCGUAUGCCUUUGUCCUUGGGGAACCGUAUUCUAAGUCCGUGGGUAGGACGGCCUCGAUCCCAUAGACUAGAAAGAAAGGCGAGAAACCCGUGGCCCGGCUCAACGUCGUCCUCAGACUCCAAACCACCGAGGGUAGUUCUUUUAUCCACCGCUUGCCAAACUUGUUGAGGUCGUUGUAGAUCCUCGGUUUUAGUCCCUGCAAAAUCAUGCCAUUGGCGCGCUCCACCUGCCCAUUUGUCAUUGGGUGAGCUACGGCGGUCCAGUCCACACGGAUGUGGUGGUCUUUGCAGAAGUCUAGGAACUUUUUCCCAGUGAACUGCGUGCCAUUGUCAGUGAUGAUGGAGUUUGGGACCCCAAAGCGAUGGAUGAUAUUUGUAAAGAACGCCACCGCCUGCUCGAACCCGAUGCUGGUUAAGGGUCAGACUUCGAUCCACUUGGAGAAUUUGUCGAUGGCGACCAGCAGGUGCGUGAAGCCACCGGGUGCCUUCUACAAGGGACCGACGUGGUACAGACCCCACACGACAAGCGGCUAGGUGAUGGGUAGUGUUUGCAGGGUCUGAGCGGGCAGGUGCGUCUGUCUCGCGUAGAAUUGACACCCUCGGUAGGAGCGUACAAUCCUAGUGGCGUCGGCCAUCGCGGUCGGCCAGUAGAAGCCUUGUCGUAAAGCGUUUCCCACGAGGGCCCGAGGUGCUGCAUGGUGACCGCAAUCCCCCGAGUGUAUUUCUUGUAACAGCUCUUGUCCUUGGGCGACAGAUAUGCAUCGUUGGAGAAUGCCUGAGGGGCUGCGGUGGUACAACUCCUUUUCAUCACCCAGUAAAACGAAUGACUUGGCACGCCGAGCCAGUCACCGAGCUUCGGCCUUGUGGAGGGGCAGCUCUCCUCGGAGGAGAUAUUCUAGGUAUGGGGUCUGCCAGUUCUGGUUUGGUGUAACCCCAUUCUGCUCUACCUCGACGCGCAGGGCCUCACCCUCGGCGGCCGAGGGUACCUCGGGCUGGGCCGAGGUUACCUCGGGUUCGAGCGCGUCGUCGAGUUUGACGGAUGGUUGAUAUAUGUCCCUGGAGAAGACGUCCGGGGAAAUCGUGGUUCGUCCCGAGGCUAUUUUAGCCAGCUCAUCUGUAGUCUCGUUGUACCGUCGAGCAACAUGGUUGAGUUCCAGCCCAUAGAACUUAUGUUCCAAGUGCCGAACUUCGUCGUAGUAGGCCUCCAUUUUUCGAUCGCGGCAGUGGGAGUUCUUCAUGACUUGGUUAAUAACAAGCUACGAGUCACCACGAGCGUCGAGGCGCCGAACCCCUAGCUCGACGGCGAUGCGCAAUCCAUUAACCAAAGCCUCGUACUCGGUCAUGUUGUUUGACGUCGGAAAAUGGAGGCGUAUAACGUAGCGCACAUGUUUCCCGAGGGGCGAGAUGAAGAGCAACCAGCACCUGCUUCGGUUUUCAUAAGCGACCCAUCGAAGUACAUGGUCCAAAGUUCGGCCUGGGUUGGAGCUGUCGGCAAUUGGCUGUCGACCCAUUCAGCCAGGAAGUCUGCCAAGACUUGAGAUUUUAUGGCCUUCCGAGGGGCGAAUGAAAGUGUUUCGCCCAUGAGCUCCACUGCACAUUUUGCAAUCCUACCCGAGGCCUCUCGGCACUGGAUGAUCUCUCCCAAGGGAAGGAUGACACCACAGUCACCGGAUGAGACUCGAAGUAGUGUCGCAACUUUCGUCGUGUCAGAAUCACUGCGUACAGUAGCUUCUGGAUUUGUGGGUAGCGGAUCUUGGUCUCGGAUAGCACCUCGCUGAUGAAGUAGACCGACCUCUGGAUGAGCAGUGCAUGCCCCUCUUCUCGUCUCUCAACUACGAUCGCGCCGCUGACCACCUGAGUGGUUGCGGCUACGUAAAUCAAGAGGGCUUCUCCCGCAGCGGGGGGCACCAAGACGGGCGCAUUAGUAAGGAGUGCCUUUAAGUUUCUGAGGGCUUCUUCGGCCUCGGGGGUCCAAGUGAAGCGCUCGGCCUUCCUUAAGAGGCGGUACAAAGGCAAUCCUUUCUCGCCAAGGCGCGAGAUGAAGCGGCUCAGAGCCGCAAGGCAUCCCAUGACCCUUUGUACUCCCUUUAAAUCUUUGAUGGGCCCCAUGUUGGUGAUGGAUGCGAUUUUCUCCGGGUUGGCCUCAAUGCCUCGUUCGGAGACGAUGAACCCCAGGAGCAUGCCUCGAGGGACUCCGAAGACACACUUCUCGGGAUCGAGUUUUACGCCCUUUGCACGCAGGCACCCGAAAGUUACUUCGAGGUCGGAGAGGGGGUCGGAGGCCUUUCUUGUUUUGACAACGAUGUUAUCGACAUAAGCCUCGACCGUUCUGCCGAUGUGCUCCCCGAACACAUGGUUCAUGCACCUUUGGUAGGUUGCACCUGCAUUCCUCAAGCCAAAUGGCAUAGUAGUAUAACAAUACAUGCCAAAAGGUGUGAUAAAAGAAGUCGCGAGCUGGUUGGACUCUUUCAUCUUGAUUUGGUGGUAGCCUGAAUAGGCGUCGAGGAAUGACAGGGUUUCGCACCCAGCAGUGGAGUCCACAAUUUGAUCGAUGCGAGGCAGAGGGUAGGGAACCUUCGGACAUACUUUAUUCAACCGAGUGUAGUCUACGCACAUCCUCCAUUUCCCACCUUUCUUCUUUACAAGCAUAGGGUUAGCUAACCAUUCUGGAUGGAAUACCUCUUUGAUGAACCCUGCAGCCAUUAGCUUGUGGACCUCCUCGCCUAUGGCUCUGUGCUUUUCUUCAUCAAAACGGCGCAGAUGCUGCUUCAUGGGUCGGGCACCGGCUCUGAUGUCUAGCGAGUGCUCGGCGACAUCCCUCGGUAUGUCGGGCAUGUCUGAGGGACUCCACGCAAAAAAUUCAGCGUUUGCGCGGAGAAAGUCGACGAGCACUACUUCCUAUUUGGGGUCGAGCUCAGAGCCGAUCCUAACUUUCUUGCCGGCGUCGUUGCUGGGGUCGAGAGGGACAAACUUAACCGCCUCGGCUGGUUCGAAGUUGCCGGCGUGGCACUUCGCAUCUGGCGCCUCCUUGGAGAGGCAAUCCAGGUUGGCGAUGAGGGCCUCGGACUCGGCGAUGGCCUCAGCGUACUCCACGCAUUCUACGUCGCACUCGUAAGCGUGGCGGUACGUGGAUCCGACAGUGAUGUUUCCCUUGAGGCCUGGCAUCUUGAGCUUGAGGUACGUGUAGUUGGGGACGGCCAUGAACUUGGCGUAGCACAGUCUUCCCAGCACCACGUGGUAGGUCCCUCGGAACCCAACCACCUCGAAAGUGAGGGUUUCCUUUUGGAAGUUGGAGGGAGUUCCGAAGCAAACGGGCAAAUCAAGUUGCCCAAGGGGCAGGACGCGCUUACCGGGGACGAUCCCGUGAAAAGGUGCUGCACCGGCCCGGAUCGUGGACAGAUCGACCCCCAAGAGCCCUAGGGUCUCGGCGUAGAUGAUGUUGAGGCUGCUGCCUCCAUCCAUGAGGACCUUGGUGAGCCUAGCGUUGCCGAUGACAGGGUCGACGACGAGCGGGUACCUUCCUGGGCUCGGUACGUAGUCGGGGUGGUCGCCUUGGUCGAAGGUGAUGGGCUUGUCGGACCAGUCUAGGUAGACCGGCGCCGCUACCUUCAUCGAGUAGACCUCCCGGCGCUCCUGCUUGUGGUGUCGAGCCGAAGCAUUCGCCACUUGCCCGUCGUAGAUCAUGAAGCAGUUAUGGGCCUUCGGGAACUCCUCUUCCUUGUCACCCCCUUCUUGUUGUUGCCUUGGUCCUUGCCGCCUUCUGCCGAGGGUCCCGCCUUGUUGAAGUAACGCCGGAGCAUGUCGCAUUCUUCAAGGGUGUGCUUGACGGGACCCCUGUGAUAGGGGCACGACUCCUUGAGCAUCUUGUCGAACAUGUUGGCCCCUCCGGGAGGCUUCCGAGGAUUCCUGUGCUCGGCAGCAGCGACGAGAUCCGCGUCAACGGCGUCGCGUUUUGCUUGCGCCUUCUUCCUGGUCUUCUUCUUCGUGCAACGCGGGGCGGACGCCUCAGGGGCAUCUUCCUUCUGUCUUCCCUAAGGCUGCUUGUCCUUCCGGAAGAUGGCUUCGACCGCCUCCUGACCAGAGGCGAACUUGGUGGCUAUGUCCAUCAAUUCGCUCGCCUUGGUGGGAGUCUUGCGUCCCAGUUUGCUCACCAGGUCUCAGCAAGUGGUGCCGGUGAGGAAUGCCCCAAUGACGUCCGAGUCGAUGAUGUUGGGCAGCUCGGUGCGCUGCUUUGAAAACCGCUAGAUGUACUCUCGUAGGGAUUCCCCUGGCUGCUGGCGGCAGCUUCGGAGAUCCCAUGAGUUCCCAGGGCAUACAUACAUACCUUGGAAAUUUCCAGCGAAGGCCUUGACUAGGUCGUCCCAGUCGGAGAUCUGCGUAGGAGGCAGAUGCUCUAGCCAGGCCCGGGCAGCGUCAGAGAGGAAAAGGGGGAGGUUGCGGAUGACGAGGUUGUCGUCGUCCGUCCCUCCCAACUGGCACGCCAGCCGGUAAUUCGCAAGCCACAACUCCGGCCUUGUCUCCCCUGAGUACUUGGUGAUGGUAGUCGGGGCUCGGAACCGGGCCGGGAACGGCGCCUGUCGUAUGGCCUAGCUGAAGAAUCGCGGACCUGGUGGUUCGGGCGAGGGGCUCCGAUCCUCCUCACUGUCGUAGCGUCCUCCGCGCCUAGGGUGGUAGCCUCGGCGCACCCUUUCCUCAAGGCGGGCUUGACGGUCGCGGCGGUGUUGUUCGCUGCCGAGGCGGUCCUGGGCUGCAGGCGUCCCGUCCUGUGUGCGCUCGGUGUGGACCGAGGCCUCCCGCAUGCGUCGGGAGGACGUUGCGCGAUGCUCCGAGGGGCACCCUCGCCUUCGGGAGGCAGAGCUUUCGGCUCGUCGGACUGCGGCAUCUUCCAGGAGAUCCUUGAGUUCGCCCUGGAUACGCCGCCCCUCGGUGGUGGAUGGCUCCGGCAUUGUUCGAAGUAAGAUCGCCGCUGCAGCUAGGUUCUGGCCGGCCCCGCUGAAGGCCGGGGGCAGCCCUGCCCUGGCAUCAUCAACGAUACGGCGCUGGACGUCCCAGGCCCGAUGACGCGCUCCUCCGGCGAGUGCUCGGCCUGCCCACUCCUGCUCGAUGUUUUGUCGGAGCUGCACAAGCCGCCCCACUUCUUUGUCGAGCUUGGCUUGCAUCUCGCGGAGUUGCUCGAGUUGUGUGUCCUGACCCCCCGCAGGGACUCGGACCACAGCUAGCUCCCGCGGGAUCUCAACGCGAGACGCAGGCGCAGAGGCGUCGUCGUUCUCGGGCAUGCCGAGGCGGUCGUCUUUGUCGUGAUCCCCCUGAUCGAUGUGGAAACACUCGCAACUUGGGUCGUAACCCUCGUCGUCAAGGCUGCGACCAUCGUCAGAGCAACCGGAGAGGCAGUAGUCACAUGCGGACAUGAAGUCUCGCAUGGCACUGGGAUCACUCAGUCCGGAGAAAUCCCAACCGAAGUCGGGGUCGUCCUCUUCCUCAGAACCCGCGGGUCUGUAGGUUGAGACGGCCGUCAGUUGGUCCCAGAUUGACCACAUAUGGUACCCUGGAAGGUCAGGAUAUGCCCUCGCGAAAGCGCUCACUGAAGAGGGGUCGCUUGGUGGAUCGAAGCUGAAUCUAAAGGGAACAGGGUGGAAGACUGAUGGUACCUCCUCAUCGAUGGACGGUGGUGAAGUCGCAUCGGGGACGAAGUGCGUCGUUAUCUCAGGUGCGAGACAAAUGCCCGACAAGUCCCUCGCAAGGGUGCCAGCGUCAUUAGUCCGCUUGAGGUUGGCACGUUGUUGGGAAGCGACACCCGUCGUUGUCUCAGGUGCGAGGACAACUCCCAACAUGUCCCCCCGCAGGGGUGCCGACGUCGUCGACUCGCUUUGGUCCGACAGCCGACGAGGUGCCGCCUCUUGCCUAGCCACGGUUGCCCCGUCUUCUCCUCCUCCGGCGGAGAGUGGCGGGACAAACCCGGGUGUUCGUCUUCCACCACGGGGGAAAGUCGUCGUCGAGUUCGCCGCCGCCGGGCGAGCCGAUGACCGUCAUUGUUGUCGUGCUACGAGGGGAGGAGUACCAUGUCGUAGCUGCCGUCGUGGGACAUGAACUCGAGACUCCCGAAGCGGAGCACCGUCCCGGGCUGAAGAGGCUGCUGAAGACUGUCCAUCUGGAACUCAACGGGAAAGUGUUUGUCAACACGUAGCAGGCCCCUACCUGGCACGCCAACUGUCGGCGUUUUGGACCUGCAAGGACCCUCAACUGACUAGUGAAUUUGUCGCUGCGUGUCCCUGCCCAGAUGGGUUGAUGCAAGAUGGAAUACAAGAGGGAGGAUGAGGCUUAUAUUAUCUUGCACCGGGGUGCUCGUAGUAGGGGUUACAAGCGUCGCGCGAGAGAGAGAGAGUCUGGCCCUGAGGUGAGUUGUCUGAGUUAGCCUCCUCUGUGUUUCUCCUACUCUGCCUGCCUCUGCUCUCCUCCGCCUUUUUUCCUCUGCCCCUUAGGAAGGCCCUGGACAUCCCCUUUUAUAGAUACAAGGAGAUGGCCCAGCUGUACAAUGGGGGUGUAGCUAUGUGCUAACGUGGCCAUCGGAGAAGUGCCUGAGCCCUGUAUAUGUGCUAACGUGGAUGUCGGAGAAGUGCUUGAGCCCUGUAGAAGCGUAGCUGAUGGGGCGGCCUGGGGUCCUGCUGACGUUUCUUUGCUUUCGUAGAGGCUUGAGAACAAUCCGACGUCAUGGACGCACGCGGGGAACCAUCAUUACCUGUUACCGGAGUAAUCUAGAUGGGACACCGGUCUUGUUCCUUGGUAGCCUGAGGCAGCUAGCUAGGGGUAGGGUAAUGAUGUAUAUGUAUCCCCUGUGGCGCGGUCGAUCCGAGCCCGAGGUCGGGCGAGGCGGAGACUUCUCCCGAGGCCGAGGCCGAGGUCGGGCGAGGAUGUGACUCCUCCCGAGCCUGAGGCUGAGGCCGAGGCCUGGGGUCGGGCGAAGCGGAGACCUUCUCCCGAGGCUGAGGCCGAGGCCUGAGGUCGGGCGAGGCGGAGCUCCCUGUUGCGCCCGAGGCUGAAUUCGGGGGAGAUCGUGACUCAGUUUUACCCUGGUGCUUGGCACAGUAGUCGGAACGGGGUGAAUAGCGAUGUUUUCCUGUCGGAACAGUUAGUAAAGGGGCGAAGUGACUGCGGUCACUUCGACCUUGCCGACUGAGGCGCGUGUGUCAGGAUAAGGUGUCAGGCGAUCCCCGCAUUAAAUGCGCAUGCGAUACGGUCGGUUGGUAAGGUGAUUUGGCCGAGGUCGCUGUACGACAAAGUCUGCCCGAGCUUGGCUUCGGGCGAGCCGAGGGUGCGCCCACUGCCUGAGGAUGCCCUCGGGCGAGGCGUGAAUCCGUCUGGGACUACUGCUCUUGCCCGAGGCUGGGCUCGGAUGAGAUCGCGUCCCUUGGUAGACGAGUCCUUGACUUGAACCGUGUUUAUCAGUCUUUACGGUUUGUUCUGAAGAUGUUUUCCAGCCAGGUUAAGGAGCAUUGGGGGUACCCCUAAUUACGGUACCCGGCAAGUUUAUAAUACAUUUGAGUAUAGAUACAUAUCGACGCACCUAAGUUGGAGAAGGUGUUGUAUCAUGUAAUCCUGAGAUAUCAGCGGCUAAAAUUGAGGGAAAAUGAAUGAUUGUUGUGGUUGCUCUGAAAACCAAGACUGUUGCAAAUAUAGUAUAUUAGUUAUAGGACAAAUAUACGACCGUGUUGAGAAUAAAUGAGACACUCACGUUCACUUUUUUGUUGCGCCUGUGCGUUGUAAGCAGCAAUGUACUCUGAUUGUUGUCAGAUGAAUGCCAUUUUCUCUUAUCGCAACUCUUCAUGAAACCUUCCUUGCUGCUCCCUUAUUGUCACACCCGGUUUUGGAAGGUAAACCGAAUGCGAACCAUGUACGUGCCAGGAUCAGAAAUUCACGUACACGGCGAUUACAUAAAUGACUCAUCAUAGCACAAUGCUUCGAAUAACAAUAAAGAUAAGUAAUAAUAUGAAAGACUAGAGUCAUUUACAUAAUAUAACCAAAGUACACAGAACAGAAACGUAGCCAACGUAAAUAAACCCACCACAGGCAGCUGACUGGGGGAGGUCGCUAGCCUAAUCCUCAAACUCGCCGAAGUCCUGAAACUCCCGGAGAUCCGCCUCGACGCCUUCUUCUUUACUUGAGCAUAGAUUGCACCAAAGGCAACAUGGUGUUUUGUGAAAGCAAGGGUGAGUACACAUCAACGUACUCAGCAAAUGCCCCGUUUGGCUGAAGUGGACUAGCUUUUUAUGUGGGGUUAAGCUCAAGCAGUUGCUUUUAGUUGGUCAGGUAUUUAUUAUCAGUGGAAGCCAAGUUUUAGUAAUAACCAACCCGUGAACCAUUUCCUCAUCGAGGAAACAUCAUUAUCAUCAUCGAACCAAAAUCAUAAAUAGAACCAUAACAUCUUGAACCAUCUGUAUCUCUAAUCAAAGAGGAUCCCAAGGCCGCUCAUAACCGUGAGCAUGGCUGAUAUAUCAGUUUCACUACCCUCUGCAGAGGUCGCACACUUUACCCAUGAGUCGUGAUUCCCAUUUUGCCCGGGGAUCAUGACUCCCCAUUGAUCACUUCCUAGGUGGUCCGGCAGGGUAUCACUACGUAGCUUUUACAAAGAUUCCCUAGAGGUCAUAGCCGCCUGUUAGGUUUCUCCAGUUUGAUAAACACAGUACCCCUCCCCGCAGGAGAGUGACUAACCAAAAAGCAAAACGAAAGAACCUCGGCACUCAGCCUCGGCAGAGCAAGCACUGUGCUUGGACCCCAUUGACGACACGACGGCGAAGCAACUACACCUCUAGUUCCUCUAAUUAAUUAGCUAAGGGCAUCACAUUUCACCCUCAUGGUUGCACUGUUAUCCCGGGUGGUCUCUCAACGAACAGGUCCUUACGGAGAGGUACUCGGGAAACAGCCCGAGUCCCCUAAAUGCCACAAGUAUAUCAUCAUAUCCAGAAUAAAAUCAUAGUAUCAUCAUUGUAUCUCAUCUUGUUCAUUGAUUAAAGUAAAGCGCUAGCAUGUAGCUAACCAUAACACGCACGACAGGCGAGAGAACUAAAUAGGUGACGUGUUUAUACUAAACAAGUAUUAAUAAGAAUAUUUAAUUCGAUAUAAUUAUAUUAAUUAGCAUUUAUGAAAUAUAGAUUAAAGCUACUUAGUUUUGACUAACUUACUGUUUUUAUUGUGGAUGAUUAAAUAAAUAAAUAAUUAACUGACAUGAGUGAUUAUAAGGGAAUAGUUUAAUCUCGCGCGCGGACAACGCGCGAUACGCGCGAACGGCGUGGCAAGGCGCGCGACACACGCGAACGGCGCGCGGCAACACGUGCGAACAAUACGCGCGACACUCGCGAGUGAUGUGCGACGAAGCGGACAAACAACGCGUGACGACACGCGCGGCAGCGCGCGAAACGGCACGCGGCAACACGUGAAACAGCAUGGCGCGUGAACGACACGCAUGACACGCGCGAAGCAACGCACGUGACACUCAAGAAUAACAUAUUGAUGCCAUGUUUAUACUAAGAAUCUAUUAAUUUAAAAUGGUUGAGUUGACAUUAAUCAUAUUAACAUGUAUUUAAAAAACAAAAAUUAAAACUAUACAUUAGGUUUAAUUGGAAGGUCAUUUUUAAUAACUACCGAACGAACAAUUAAUUAAUUAGUUAAAUAAACAUGUGUCAUGACCAAAUAGUACUUUCAAUGAGUAUACAAUAUUAUUGCGAAGUUGACACAACUAAAACGAGUCGAAAUAAGUUUACGAUGCAAAAGAUAUUGAAUACUUAAUCAGCCACAGUUUACUACGAUCUGACGCAAUUCUAUUGGCUGAUGGCUUACCACACUGAGAGCCACACAAAGAAAAGCCACAAAGCAUCCUGGGAUCUAGCUAGAUCGUGGUGCACUAGGAGAUUGAAACGUGGCCAUGAAUCAUGGGAAUAGACUAACGGUUCCCUUUUCUGGCUUCUUCAACCCACGAACACAUAUUUUCCUCUCUCCUACACCUUUGACGGAACGAGUGGUUGCAAAGCACGGGGGUCGCAUGGGAGGCAGGGCACGGCUGGGUGGGCUCGCCGGCGAGCGGGGCUUACGGUGGCGAUUGGGCGCGCAGGGGCUCUGCCCAGGCCGUUGCGCCUGGCAGCAGGCCGGCUAGCUGUGCCGUCGUGCCGAGGCUGGCGGUUCGGUCAGCCAUGGCCGCGAAGGGCGUUGUAGGGAGGGGCUGCAAGGGUAGACGCACGACCACACAACAGAGAGAGCGAGGACGGCUCAGCCGACUUCGCCGGGGAAGCGCGAAUGACGAUGGAUCGCCAUUGCCACAGCUCGGACGAGGCAAAGAAAACAAAAGAGAUGGCCACGCUCUGUACUCUCACCUUGCGACGAACUCGAUGAGGGAGAAUCACGGGCGUAGCCUUCUCCGGGCAUGGCAACGCGUAGCUUGGUGGCGAGCGCAACUCCAGGACUGCUAUGCAACUGAACUGCAGGGGGCUUGAAGUCCGAGCAACGUGGGCGGGCCAUGAUGGAGUGGGGGCUAGUUUCCUUGGCGUUCGGAUGCACGGGGCUGAGGCAGUUGUGAAGGGGGAAGCAAGGAGAUGAUAUGGGGGCCCGCUGCGCAAACAACGACUGGGCGAGGGGAGGCUCACGCGGCUCGAGCAGCCACGCGUGUGUCCACGUGCAACAGGGUGCGCCGGGCUGAGGGAAAAAGGUGAGGAGAGGAAAUUUGUUUUCCCUUUUUUUAUUCUUUUUCUUUGUUUUUUAUAGGUAUAGAUAUAUGUAUUUAUAUAUAUAUAUAUGAACAUAUUUAUUUAUUAUUUGAUCAUCCAAAAGUAAUAUUUUUUCUGAACGGGAACACCCUAAGACUAUUGUAGCAAACAAGAAGUUGUGCCUCGACAUGAGAAACACACAUGUAAUCAAAAUAGUACCUAUGUAUUCCAGAUAACUAUCCCUUAUUUAGAAAAAGAAAAGAAAAGCAAGGAAAAGAGAGGGUAACACCUGAAUAUGGUGGGUAUUAGAAAAGAAAUUUUAUACCCUAAUUUCAGGGUGUUACAAAUCUAACCCCCUUAACAGGAAUCUCGCCCCCGAGAUUCAAGAAGAGGUUAGCAAGAACGACUAGGUUGGUUCUUAGGUUGUCCACGACUUUCUUGAGCUGACUUUGACUCUGUAAGCUUAACUUGGGGACUAGUUUGCUUUGACUUUCAGAUGCUUGAGACCGAUCGAUGCAAUUCUUGAGGAUCUCUUGGACCUAUGGGUUAGGACCCACACAUGCUUUCGCUGCACCAGUUUGAUCUUAUUGGUUGAGAUUGAACACAUUGUCUUCAUUGGAGUUAUCGGCUAACCCCCUUAACAGGAGCGUUGAUAUGCACUUGGUGAAGAUGCUGCCGACUCUGAUCUUGACUGAUUUGGAGGAGCUAGAGGUUGCCAAAUGGACAGGUGCAAAAGGAAAGAAUAACGAGAAAAGGUAAGUAAAGACGGAUUAGAGAGAGCAGGGGAGAACCCAACUACUUAACUCUAUGACACUCACCUAGUAAACUGAUGCCAUUGCGGACCAAAGGCCACAACACAGCAACACUCAUUUCAAAGAAGCAAAUCAGUCAUAGCACAAAGACAAACAUCACGAGCACACAUCAACAACAUCUUGUUGCUAUACGUUCCUUUUAAGUCAUGGUGGAUCUUUCUUAAAAAGGGAGAUAACUACUCUCUAGGGUUUUUCGAAGGAGGAGGAGAAGAAUAAUACAUGCUGGAUAGGGACACGAGCACAAUAAAGGAUGGAGUUUAAGCAAGGAUUGUAAUCGACAAGGGAGAAAAUGCAACCAAGGGCAGGGUAGGUAAACACCAUUCUCAAAUCGAGAUGGGAAAGAUGCUAAUUCGAAAGGUAGGCAUAAGAAAAGCAUCAUGGAAGGAUCCAGUGAUUACAAAGGUACAGGAGGUAACAGACGAAAGCACAUCAAAAGAUCGAGUUAAGACAAGACUUGCCACGCGACAGAGGAAAAAGGGGACGAACCAGAGCGGGGAGGGGUAAGACAACACUCUUUAAAUGAAAUGGGAGAGGCAGCUUUAAAAUGCAGGUACAAGAUAAGCAUCAAUGUAAAGAUCGAGUGACAAGGGUUAAGGUGAUAACAGACAAACACACAACAGGGUGUGUAUUUGAGGAAAAACUUGCAAGGUGUCAAAAAAGGGGGGCAAUCAGUGGUGAAGUAGGUGAGGCAUUAUCCUCGAACAGGGAUGGAAAAGAGGAGGCUUUAAAGGGUAGGUUCAAAGUAAGCGUGAAGGUAAAGAUAUAGAUAUUGCAAGGGUUAAAGGUGACAACGGACAAGAAUGUAAGAGAGGAGGUAAAUGGUCAUAAGAACAAAGAAUAUAAGUGCCCUAAAGGAUGGAGUUAAGACAGGGCCUGCAAAUGAAAAAGACGGGCCAGACAAGUAAAUUGCCACUCCCAAAUUGCGGUGGAAGAGAGGAGAUUUUUAAAGAUCAAGAAUAAAGAUGAGUAUCAAGGCAAGAUCGAUGGAUGGCAAGGUGAUGGUGAUAGCAAAUAAAAACACCGCAAAGGAUGGUAUUAACACAAAACUUGUAAGGCGACAAGAAGUGAGAAGAAAUCAAGGGAGAGAUAGGUAACUCGCAACUCUCAAACUUUCUCAAAAUAAAGGAGAGGCUUUUAAAGGAUAAGUUUAAGGUAAGCAUUUAGGUAGAUGACAUAAAUAUCGUAAGGGUCAAAGGCAAUAACAGACAAGAGUAUAGGAGAAAAGGUGAAGGCAUAGAAGAGCUAGUGGUAUAAGUACAAUAAAGAAUGGAGGUAUGUCAAGGCUUACACGCGGUAAAGAAUAGGACAUUGCCAAGGAUGAGAUAAGUAAAACACCGUUCUCAAAUUGGGAUAGGAGAUUGGAGAUUUUAGAUAACAAAAAUAAUGUAAUCACCAAGGUAACAUUGAGAGAUGGGAUAGGUGGAUGCAGUAACAAACAAAAGCACAGCAAAGGACGAAGUUACAAACUCGCAAGCCAAAGAAGAGGAUGUGACCAAGGUAAAGAUAGGUAAAGUAUAGCUCUCAGAACAAGACGGGAGAGAGGUGAUUUUAAAGGCAGGUAUGAGACAAACAUCAAGUAAGAUAUAGAGGUGUCAAAGGUAAAGGUGAUAAUAAUGAAAAGCACAAGGAUAGAGUUCAGGCAAGACUCGCUAGGUGGCGAAGUGGAGAAAACAGUCAAGGGUAAGAUAGGUAAGGUUGCAACAAAAUGGUUGAAGUAAAGAAAAUUAAUUACCAAGUGGAGUUACAAGGAGACAACAAGAUUACCAAGGAUAUGCAAAAUAAAAUGACCGCUCAUGGAUCAUGAAGAAACAAAGGUGGUCAAGGGCAUAUUAACUAAAAUGUCUUAAACAGAAAUUGGGAUAUAAAGGUAAGCAUAUAUAAAAAUAUGAGUAUGCAAGAUUCCAAUGGUACGAGCAUACCAAGACCAAGAGAGUACAAAUUGCCAAAAAGAUAGCGACUUAACAAUAGAAUAGGAAAGGGUUUCAAAAGACAGUAAGAUCAUGGACAUAUAAUCUGAAAUGUUUAAAUAGACAGCAUGGUUUUUUUAUUAGAGGUAGGCAUUGAAACAGGAGUAUUGAAUAGUCUAGGAGCACGAGCAUGUCAAUACCCAAGGAAUAGAGAUGGUCAAAUGGUAGCAAUUUAAUAAUGGAUGAGGAAAGAGUCCCAAAAGACUAAAGGCUAUGGUCAGGGGGCAUCUACAAAGAUGUCGCAAGCACAAGAUGAGAUCAGAUCUAAUAGAUUGAGAGAAGUAUAGACCAUACUAGAAUAAAAUACUUUUUGGCAACAGGGCAUAUAGGAGCACAACAUAGAAUUAGUCGAGGUGACUAAUAUUUUGAAGCAGAAUCAAGGAUGAGAUGAGGUAAUAAUCAAUAAGUCCUUAAAACGGCCAAUGCUACUCUAGGUCAGCGGUCCUAUAGUCAGCACGGCUUUGAUACCACUUAUGUCACACCCGGUUUUGGAAGGUAAACCGAAUGCGAACCAUGUACGUGCCAGGAUCAGAAAUUCACGUACACAGCGAUUACAUAAAUGACUCAUCAUAGCACAAUGCUUCGAAUAACAAUAAAGAUAAGUAAUAAUAUGAAAGACUAGAGUCAUUUACAUAAUAUAACCAAAGUACACAGAACAGAAACGUAGCCAACGUAAAUAAACCCACCACAGGCAGCUGACUGGGGGAGGUCGCUAGCCUAAUCCUCAAACUCGCCGAAGUCCUGAAACUCCCGGAGAUCCGCCUCGACGCCUUCUUCUUUACUUGAGCAUAGAUUGCACCAAAGGCAACCUGGUGUUUUGUGAAAGCAAGGGUGAGUACACAUCAACGUACUCAACAAAUGUCCCGUUUGGCUGAAGUGGACUAGCUUUUUAUGUGGGGUUAAGCUCAAGCAGUUGCUUUUAGUUGGUCAGGUAUUUAUUAUCAGUGGAAGCCAAGUUUUAGUAAUAACCAACCCGUGAACCAUUUCCUCAUCGAGGAAACAUCAUUAUCAUCAUCGAACCAAAAUCAUAAAUAGAACCAUAGCAUCUUGAACCAUCUGUAUCUCUAAUCAAAGAGGAUCCCAAGGCCGCUCAUAACCGUGAGCACGGCUGAUAUAUCAGUUUCACUACCCUCUGCAGAGGUCGCACACUUUACCCAUGAGUCGUGAUUCCCGUUUUGCCCGGGGAUCAUGACUCCCCAUUGAUCACUUCCUAGGUGGUCCGGCAGGGUAUCACUACGUAGCUUUUACAAAGAUUCCCUAGAGGUCAUAGCCGCCUGUUAGGUUUCUCCAGUUUGAUAAACACAGUACCCCUCCCCGCAGGAGAGUGACUAACCAAAAAGCAAAACGAAAGAACCUCGGCACUCAGCCUCGGCAGAGCAAGCACUGUGCUUGGACCCCAUUGACGACACGACGGCGAAGCAACUACACCUCUAGUUCCUCUAAUUAAUUAGCUAAGGGCAUCCCAUUUCACCCUCAUGGUUGCACUGUUAUCCCGGGUGGUCUCUCAACGAACAGGUCCUUACGGAGAGGUACUCGGGAAACAGCCCGAGUCCCCUAAAUGCCACAAGUAUAUCAUCAUAUCCAGAAUAAAAUCAUAGUAUCAUCAUUGUAUCUCAUCAUAUUCAUUGAUUAAAGUAAAGCGCUAGCAUGUAGCUAACCAUAGUAACCCAAAAGGUAAAUCAAGGACAAGGUAAAUAGAAAGCUAGUAAAUCUUUAGGUUGUUCAUAGUAUGCGGGACAAUGUAUUAUAAAGUAAAUGGGACAUGAUGGGUCAGAGGACACUUGCCUUCACCAAACAGAUGAUCAGGGUCUUCGAUCUCGUAGAACUCGAAGAACUGGAUCAUUUGGUCGCCGAAGCUUGAUCGUCGAUUCCUCGAUGCUUGGAAACAGAUCGCAAUCUAUUCGCAACGCGUAGCGAAUACAAACAAGAACAAACAAUCAAACACAUAUAUACGCAUAAGAACAUUACACCAUACAAGAUAAAAUGUAAUAAAACAUUAAAUACGAAAAGGAACGUGUUACUAUGGUCACGCGAGGAAAAAGAAACGCGACAGUCGAAGCUACGGUCGAGAAGUUAUCGCGUUUACGCUAAACGAAUAUAAAAUAGGACAUUUAAUUCGGUGUUAUCGAAUAUAAAUUAUAACUACUAUUUAAUUAGAGCGAGAGAUUCUAGGCGAGACGAAUUUACAAUGCGCGAAACAAUACAACAGCGUGUAGACGACGCGCAGACAAGCGCGACAAAGCACACGAACGCCGCAUGAGACAGUGCGCGCGACAAGCGUGAACGACGCGCGAACCGGCACGUCACCACAUGUGGAAUAACACGCACGACAGGCGAGAGAACUAAAUAGGUGACGUGUUUAUACUAAACAAGUAUUAAUAAGAAUAUUUAAUUCGAUAUAAUUAUAUUAAUUAGCAUUUAUGAAAUAUAGAUUAAAGCUACUUAGUUUUGACUAACUUACUGUUUUUAUUGUGGAUGAUUAAAUAAAUAAAUAAUUAACUGACAUGAGUGAUUAUAAGCGAAUAGUUUAAUCUCGCGCGCGGACAACGCGCGAUACGCGCGAACGGCGCGGCAAGGCGCGCGACACACGCGAACGGCGCGCGGCAACACGUGCGAACAAUACGCGCGACACUCGCGAGUGAUGUGCGACGAAGCGGACAAACAACGCGUGACGACACGCGCGGCAGCGCGCGAAACGGCACGCGGCAACACGUGAAACAGCAUGGCGCGUGAACGACACGCAUGACACGCGCGAAGCAACGCACGUGACACUCAAGAAUAACAUAUUGAUGCCAUGUUUAUACUAAGAAUCUAUUAAUUUAAAACUGUUGAGUUGACAUUAAUCAUAUUAACAUGUAUUUAAAAAACAUAAAUUAAAACUAUACAUUAGGUUUAAUUGGAAGGUCAUUUUUAAUAACUACCGAACGAACAAUUAAUUAAUUAGUUAAAUAAACAUGUGUCAUGACCAAAUAGUACUUUCAACGAGUAUACAAUAUUAUUGCGAAGUUGACACAACUAAAACGAGUCGAAAUAAGUUUACGAUGCAAAAGAUAUUGAAUACUUAAUCAGCCACAGUUUACGACGAUCUGACGCAAUUCUAUUGGCUGAUGGCUUACCACACUGAGAGCCACACAAAGAAAAGCCACAAAGCAUCCUGGGAUCUAGCUAGAUCGUGGUGCACUAGGAGAUUGAAACGUGGCCAUGAAUCAUGGGAAUAGACUAACGGUUCCCUUUUCUGGCUUCUUCAACCCACGAACACAUAUUUUCCUCUCUCCUACACCUUUGACGGAACGAGUGGUUGCAAAGCACGGGGGUCGCAUGGGAGGCAGGGCACGGCUGGGUGGGCUCGCCGGCGAGCGGGGCUUACGGUGGCGAUUGGGCGCGCAGGGACUCUGCCCUGGCCGUUGCGCCUGGCAGCAGGCCGGCUAGCUGUGCCGUCGUGCCGAGGCUGGCGGUUCGGUCAGCCAUGGCCGCGAAGGGCGUUGUAGGGAGGGGCUGCAAGGGUAGACGCACGACCACACAACAGAGAGAGCGAGGACGGCUCAGCCGACUUCGCCGGGGAAGCGCGAAUGACGAUGGAUCGCCAUUGCCACAGCUCGGACGAGGCAAAGAAAACAAAAGAGAUGGCCACGCUCUGUACUCUGACCUUGCGACGAACUCGAUGAGGGAGAAUCACGGGCGUAGCCUUCUCCGGGCAUGGCAACGCGUAGCUUGGCGGCGAGCGCGACUCCAGGACUGCUAUGUAGUUGAACUGCAGGGGGCUUGAAGUCCGAGCAACGUGGGCGGGCCAUGAUGGAGUGGGGGCCAGUUUCCUUGGCGUUCGGAUGCACGGGGCUGAGGCAGUUGUGAAGGGGGAAGCAAGGAGAUGAUAUGGGGGCCCGCUGCGCAAACAACGACUGGGCGAGGGGAGGCUCACGCGGCUCGAGCAGCCACGCGUGUGUCCACGUGCAACAGGGUGCGCCGGGCUGAGGGAAAAAGGUGAGGAGAGGAAAUUUGUUUUCCCUUUUUUUAUUCUUUUUCUUUGUUUUU